AGAGCGAACGCUGGCGGCAGGCCUAAUACAUGCAAGUCGAACGCACCUUCGGGUGAGUGGCGGACGGGUGAGUAACACGUGGGAACGUGCCCUUUGGUUCGGAAUAAUCCGGGGAAACCUGGCCUAAUACCGAAUGUGCCCCCUCCUUUAACCAGGGGGGUGGGAAAGAUUUAUCGCCAUUGGAGCGGCCCGCGUCUGAUUAGCUAGUUGGUGGGGUAAAGGCCCACCAAGGCUACAAUCAGUAGCUGGUCUGAGAGGAUGAUCAGCCACACUGGGACUGAGACACGGCCCAGACUCCUACGGGAGGCAGCAGUAGGGAAUCUUGCGCAAUGGGCGAAAGCCUGACGCAGCCAUGCCGCGUGAAUGAUGAAGGUCUUAGGAUUAGUAAAAUUCUUUCAGCGGGAAGAUAAUGACGGUACCGCAGAAGAAGCUCCGGCUAACUUCGUGCCAGCAGCCGC
rnacentral:rRNA from 1 species